GAUCCUGGCUCAGGACGAACGCUGGCGGCGUGCUUAACACAUGCAAGUCGAACGAAGAGCGACGGAAGCUUGCUUCUAUCAAUCUUAGUGGCGAACGGGUGAGUAACGCGUAAUCAACCUGCCCUUCAGAGGGGGACAACAGUUGGAAACGACUGCUAAUACCGCAUACGAUCUAACCUCGGCAUCGAGGAUAGAUGAAAGGUGGCCUCUACAUGUAAGCUAUCACUGAAGGAGGGGA
rnacentral:rRNA from 1 species